UUUGAACUUGUACGAAUUGG
rnacentral:miRNA from 1 species